rnacentral:rRNA from 1 species
GACGAACGCUGGCGGCGUGCUUAACACAUGCAAGUCGAACGGAAAGGCCCCUUUGGGGGUACUCGAGUGGCGAACGGGUGAGUAACACGUGAGUAACCUGCCCUUGACUUCGGGAUAACUUCAGGAAACUGGGGCUAAUACCGGAUAGGAAUCCUUGCUGCAUGGUGGGGGUUGGAAAGCUUCGGCGGUUUUGGAUGGACUCGCGGCUUAUCAGCUUGUUGGUGGGGUAGUGGCUUACCAAGGCUUGGACGGGUAGCCGGCCUGAGAGGGCGACCGGCCACAUUGGGACUGAGAUACGGCCCAGACUCCUACGGGAGGCAGCAGUGGGGAAUAUUGCACAAUGGGCGGAAGCCUGAUGCAGCAACGCCGCGUGCGGGAUGACGGCCUUCGGGUUGUAAACCGCGUUCAGCAGGGGCGAAGCUUGUGGUGACGGUACCUGCAGAAGAAGCACCGGCUAACUACGUG